ACGACCGGCGCACGGGUGAGUAACACGUAUGCAACCUACCUCUAACUGGAGGAUAGCCCGAAGAAAUUCGGAUUAAUAUUCCAUAAAGCCAAUUUAAGGCAUCUCUCAUUGAUUAAAGCUCCGGCGGUUAGAGAUGGGCAUGCGUGUCAUUAGCUAGUUGGUGAGGUAACGGCUCACCAAGGCCACGAUGACUAGGGGGUCUGAGAGGAUGAUCCCCCACACUGGUACUGAGACACGGACCAGACCCCUACGGGAGGCAGCAGUGAGGAAUCAUUGGGCACUGGACCGCAAGUCUGACCCAGCCAUGGCCGCGUGCAAGGAUGACUGCCCAUAUUGGCUUGUAAACUGCUUCUGUUUUGGGAGGUACCCCCCGAUCGUGAUCGGGGCUGACGGUACCAUGCGAAUAAGCAUCGGCUAACUCCGUGCCAGCAGCCACGGUAAUACGGAAGGAUGCAAGCGUUAUCCGGAUUCAUUGGGUUUAAAGGGUGCGCAGGCGGAAUAUUAAGUCAGUGGUGAAAUCCUGCAGCUUAACUGUAGAACUGCCAUUGAUACUGAUAUUCUUGAAUAUAGUUGAGGUAGGCGGAAUGUGUAAUGUAGCGGUGAAAUGCUUAGAUAUUACACAGAACACCAAUUGCGAAGGCAGCUCACUAAACUAAUAUUGACGCUGAGGCACGAAAGCGUGGGUAGCAAACAGGAUUAGAUACCCUGGUAGUCCACGCUGUAAACUAUGAUCACUCGCUGUUGGCAAUACAUCGUCAGCGGCUGAGCGAAAGCAUUAAGUGAUCCACCUGGGGAGUACGGUCGCAAGAUUGAAACUCAAAGGAAUUGACGGGGGCCCGCACAAGCGGAGGAACAUGUGGUUUAAUUCGAUGAUACGCGAGGAACCUUACCUGGGCUUAAAUGCAGAGCGACGUCCGCCGAAAGGUGGAUUCCUUCGGGCGAUCUGCAAGGUGCUGCAUGGUUGUCGUCAGCUCGUGCCGUGAGGUGUCGGGUUAAGUCCCAUAACGAGCGCAACCCUUAUCGUUAGUUGCCAGCGGGUAAUGCCGGGGACUCUAACGAAACUGCCGGUGUAAACCGUGAGGAAGGUGGGGAUGACGUCAAAUCAGCACGGCCCUUAUGUCCAGGGCUACACACGUGUUACAAUGGUCGGUACAGAGGGCAGCUACCACGCGAGUGGAUGCUAAUCUCGAAAACCGGUCUCAGUUCGGAUUGAAGUCUGCAACUCGACUUCAUGAAGCUGGAUUCGCUAGUAAUCGCGCAUCAGCCAUGGCGCGGUGAAUACGUUCCCGGGCCUUGUACACACCGCCCGUCAAGCCAUGGAAGCUUGGGGUACAUGAAGUCCGUAACCGCAAGGAGCGGCACUAGGGUAAGA
rnacentral:rRNA from 1 species